rnacentral:rRNA from 1 species
UACGUGAGAGUGCAGGCGUUAAUCGGAAGUUACUGGGCGUAAAGCGUGCGCAGGCGGUCUCUUAAGACAGGUGUGAAAUCCCCCGGGCUUAACCUGGGAACUGCGCUUGUAACUGAGAGGCUAGAGUGUGGUAGGGGAGACUGGAAUUCCUGGAUGUAGCGGUGAAAUGCGCAGAUAUCAGGAGGAACACCGGUGGCGAAGGCGGGUCUCUGGGCAACAACUGACGCUGGAGGAGCGAAAGCGUGGGGAGCGAACAGG